rnacentral:rRNA from 1 species
UACGUAGGGUGCAAGCGUUGUCCGGAAUUAUUGGGCGUAAAGAGCUCGUAGGCGGUCUGUCGCGUCGGAUGUGAAAAUCCAGGGCUCAACCCUGGACCUGCAUUCGAUACGGGCAGACUAGAGUUCGGUAGGGGAGACUGGAAUCCCUGGUGUAGCGGUGAAAUGCGCAGAUAUCAGGAGGAACACCGGUGGCGAAGGCGGGUCUCUGGGCCGAAACUGACGCUGAGGAGCGAAAGCGUGGGGAGCAAACAGG